GCUUAACACAUGCAAGUCGAACGAAGCACUUUAACUUGAUCCCUUCGGGGUGAUUGAUAUGUGACUGAGUGGCGGACGGGUGAGUAACGCGUGGGUAACCCUGCCUCAUACAGGGGGAUAACAGUUGGAAACGGCUGCUAAUACCGCAUAAGCGCACGGUAUCGCAUGAUACAGUGUGAAAAACUCCGGUGGUAUGAGAUGGACCCGCGUCUGAUUAGCUAGUUGGCGGAGUAACGGCCCACCAAGGCAACGAUCAGUAGCCGACCUGAGAGGGUGACCGGCCACAUUGGGACUGAGACACGGCCCAAACUCCUACGGGAGGCAGCAGUGGGGAAUAUUGCACAAUGGAGGAAACUCUGAUGCAGCGACGCCGCGUGAGCGAUGAAGUAUUUCGGUAUGUAAAGCUCUAUCAGCAGGGAAGAUAAUGACGGUACCUGAGUAAGAAGCUCCGGCUAAAUACGUG
rnacentral:rRNA from 1 species